ensembl:snRNA U6 U6 spliceosomal RNA
UUGCUUUUGCAGCACAUAUACUAAAAUUGGAACGAUACAGAGAAGAUUAGCAUGGCCCCUGCGCAAGAGAUAAACACACGUUCACUGGAAGAUUUGCACAGUUUU